GUCAUUGGCUAACACCCCGUAGCCAGCCGCUACAAUACUCACCUCCACCGAGUUGAGUUGAGUUUGAGUUUAUUUGCAUCGCAAGUGAUAAGAUACACUUUAUACAUCCCAUAGUGAAAUAACAAUGAUAGAAAUAAAUGUACAGAGAACAUUGGAAGUGGAACAAUAUAAAUUACUGAACAAACACUGCUUCAAUAUAAUAUAGAGUUUUACAUUUAAGAAGUCACACUGUAUAUUCCAGCAAACUUUGUCUGUAUUUACAUAGUAUUGGAGUGUCGAAAUGACAAAACGAAAACCUGGACAACGAUGGAGAAGAACUGGUAAAGAAGUCGACUCAAAUAAACGAUCAAGAAGGACUGUACAAUUGUCAUUCCGUCCUGCAGCCACCAAUGUGAAUGUGGAGACUGAUGAGAAAUGUCUAAGAGGUAGCAGCAGGGGAACACUGCAGGAGGCGGUGCCUCCUGAAGGAGCCCAAAACACUGCUCUUUAAAUGGAACACAUCCAACCUCCAGGUGUCCAUGCAGGAUGUACCACUCUGGAACAUCAAGCCUCUCCCUACCUGCCAAGUACACCCACCGUC